CCUACGGGGGGCUGCAGUGGGGAAUAUUGGACAAUGGGGGCAACCCUGAUCCAGCCAUGCCGCGUGUGUGAAGAAGGCCCUCGGGUUGUAAAGCACUUUCAGUGAGGAAGAACGCCUGGUGGUUAAUACCCAUCAGGAAAGACAUCACUCACAGAAGAAGCACCGGCUAACUCCGUGCCAGCAGCCGCGGUAAUACGGAGGGUGCGAGCGUUAAUCGGAAUUACUGGGCGUAAAGCGCGCGUAGGUGGCUUGAUAAGCCGGUUGUGAAAGCCCCGGGCUCAACCUGGGAACGGCAUCCGGAACUGUCAAGCUAGAGUGCAGGAGAGGAAGGUAGAAUUCCCGGUGUAGCGGUGAAAUGCGUAGAGAUCGGGAGGAAUACCAGUGGCGAAGGCGGCCUUCUGGACUGACACUGACACUGAGGUGCGAAAGCGUGGGUAGCAAACAGGAUUAGAUACCCUGGUAGUC
rnacentral:rRNA from 1 species